ACCGGAAGUGUCGCGUUGCCAUGGCGAGGAUGGGCGCGGGGCCCGCCCCCGUGGAGCCUGGAGCAGCGCUGGGCCCCAGGGUCGGCCGGGCAGGGUCUGGGAAGCGGCUAGGCGGGCUCCAGAUGAGACAGCCGGCAGUUCUCUGUGGUCGUCCCUUAAAUGAUGCUGGGGCCCAGAAAGUAUCUCCAUCUCAGAGGAAGAGGCUCACCUUAGGAGCGAGUAAGUGAAUGAAUGAAAUAGAUAAAGAACAGAGAACUCACCAUUCUAGAUCAGAGACCAACUAGGUGACCACCUGAGUGAUGGUCACUGUGAUGGAUUCCAUAGAUACAGUGGAGGGAUACAUGGCAAGGAUGCUAAUAUUGAGGACACUCUCAGCUGUGAGCCCAGUUCCUUAAGGAUCUGUUCAUUGCCUGGUGAGUGGCUGAGGCUGAACAUGG
rnacentral:lncRNA from 1 species